CCGGCUCGCGGUUCACUUCGCGGUGCUUACUGCCCGUCCGGACCUACCCGCCGGUUUUCCCUUGGUGCUCUUCAUUGAGUGUCUCGGGUGGCCGGAACGUUUACUUUGAAAAAAUUAGAGUGUUCAAAGCAGGCGCUUCGCCUGAAUAAUGGUGCAUGGAAUAAUGGAAUAGGACCUCGGUUCUAUUUUGUUGGUUUUCGGAACUCGAGGUAAUGAUUAAGAGGGACAGACGGGGGCAUUCGUAUUACGGUGUUAGAGGUGAAAUUCUUGGAUCGCCGUAAGACGAACUACUGCGAAAGCAUUUGCCAAGAAUGUUUUCAUUAGUCAAGAACGAAAGUCAGAGGUUCGAAGACGAUCAGAUACCGUCCUAGUUCUGACCAUAAACGAUGCCGACUGGAGAUCCGCCGGAGUUGUUUCACUGACCCGGCGGGCAUCCUCUGGGAAACCGUAAGUCUAUGGGUUCCGGGGGAAGUAUGGUUGCAAAGCUGAAACUUAAAGGAAUUGACGGAAGG
rnacentral:rRNA from 1 species